UCAUUAAUUCAAAUGCUGUAUGUGUAUAAUAAUCCAAUCCACGAACUAAGUUAGGAUCUUCAAUAUAUGGAAUAUCUAAAUCAUCUAAAUAAGCUUUUACUUGUUCAUAAUAUGCCUUAGAUUCCUCAUUUAAGAAAUCAGUGAUUCUAGGUGCAGUCUUAAUCGCUUCUUUAUCACGGUCUACUUUACAAUCCAAAAUUCGCAUCGGAUUUGUAUGCAAACGUGAUUGACAAUCUGAACAAAAUUCAUGAAUUACUGGUUCAAAGUGUUUCACUAACGCUU
rnacentral:sRNA from 1 species